GAUGAAGAACGCAGCGAAAUGCGAUACGUAAUGUGAAUUGCAGAAUUCAGUGCAUCAUCGAAUCUUUGAACGCACAUUGCGCCCGCUAGUAUUCUGGCGGGCAUGCCUGUCCGAGCGUCAUUUCAACCCAUCAAGCUUAGCGCUUGUGUUGGAGCCCUGCGGCCGCCGCAGCCUCCUAAAAUCAGUGGCGGGCUCGCUAUCACGCUGAGUGCAGUAGUAUUCUUCUCACUCCUGUGGUGUAGCGGGUAACCAGCCGUAAACCCCCCCAUCUAUAAAGGUUGACCUCGGAUCAGGUAGGAAUACCCGCUGAACUUAAGCAUAUCAAUAAGCGGAGGA
rnacentral:misc_RNA from 1 species